rnacentral:rRNA from 1 species
UCCCCAUGCAAUGGGCUAAGAGCUAUUUAAAGGGGGUACAGCCCCUUUAAAAAAGGAUACAACCUCCACCAGUGGAUAACCCCACCCCAACCCAACCCCCGUGGGCCUUAAAGCAGCCACCCUUAGAGAACGCGUCAAAGCUCCACAGACUAAAAAAAUCCAAAAACAACGUAAAUCCCUGAACCCAUAACAGGUCAACCUACAAUAGUAGAUGAAUCAAUGCUAAAACGAGUAACCAGGGCACAGUCCCCCAAAGCGCCAACCUAAACACCAUUAACAGCAUAGCCGCAAUACCAAACCCCCGACUAAACAUUGAACAUACCCUGUCAAACCAAACCCAGGAGCGCACACUGGGAUGAUUAAAAUCUGCAGAAGGAACUCGGCAAACCCAAGACCCGACUUGUUUACCAAAAACAUAGCCUUCAGCCAAACAAGUAUUGAAGGUGAUGCCUGCCCAGUGACACACGUUUAACGGCCGCGGUAUCCUAACCGUGCAAAGGUAGCGCAAUCAAUUGUCCCAUAAAUCGAGACCUGUAUGAACGGCUAAACGAGAUCUUAACUGUCUCCUGCAGAUAAUCAGUGAAACUGAUCCCUCUGUACAAAAGCAGAGAUAAACACAUAAGACGAGAAGACCCUGUGGAACUUCAAAAUCAAUAGCCACCAUAUCCAACCCACAAACCCACCAGGCUCACUACCCAAAAACACUGGCUAACAUUUUUAGGUUGGGGCGACCUUGGAGAAAAACAAAUCCUCCAAAAAUAGGGCCAAACCCCCUAACCAAGAGCAACCCCUCAACGUGCCAACAGCACCCAGACCCAGUAAAACUGACUAAUGAACCAAGCUACCCCAGGGAUAACAGCGCAAUCUCCCCCAAGAGCCCCUAUCGACGGGGAGGUUUACGACCUCGAUGUUGGAUCAGGACAUCCUAGUGGUGCAGCCGCUACUAAGGUUCGUUUGUUCAACGAUUAACAGUCCUA